UCUGGUGCCUUUUGAAUGGCAAAGCAGCUGGGUACACUCCAUGCAGACCAUAAAACCUGCUGCAAUCUCGACUCCCAGGCGCCAGAGGUGACAUCAGCACAGCAGUACUGUUUCCCAUUUCUCACAAAGAGUGGUCUGGGCUCCUCUGCGACUCCACAGGGCAGCAUGCCGUUGUUCUGCGCCAGGGCAGGCCCAGGUGUUUGUGUGCCCCGGUCUUCACACUUUAUCUCCCUGAAUGUUGUGCGCCAGCAGUGGGGGUCUGGCUCAAAGACUUCAUCCUCCUCAUCGUCCAUGCGAGGGCACUAUGAGAUGAGGAACCUUAAAAGUGCUCUGGCUUUUCGACGCGUGCAGGAGCACAACAUCUGCAUCAGGAUGGCUCAAAGGCAACUUGCUGCUGCAUGGAGGUCCAGCGAGGAGGCAGGCAGAGCGGCGGGUGGAGUCUCAGCAUCAGUGGCUUCUAUCAUCAGUUACUAAUUAUGCUGCCUGUGGGCUCCGCGGGGUCCGGUUUCAGCUUUGGGCUGCAGCCACCAAACACUUAGCAUUCAUAUUUAAUCACACGUCAUUAUCCACCAACAAUGUUGAGAGGAGACAGAGACCUUACCUGAUAUGGCAGAGACAAACAGAACGUAUCAAAGACAAACCGCUACCUGCGGAGACAAUAAAGAAGCAACACAUGAGCGGAUCCCUGUCGACGGGUGUUCUGAGACAAGACUGUUGUGCUCUUGAAGUGACUCAACCUCUUUGAUGCUAGUUAGUCCCCCCCCCUGAUUCUGUGCUUUCUCAGCAAGUUGGUCCUUUUCAUUUCAGCUCCUUUUAUUUUUCUUCUGUUUUCUGGAUCAAAGAGCAGCAAAGCAAACAAAGGCUAAUCCUUUCUCCUCACAACCACUGGCUUGUUGCUGGGUUAUCAGCUUAAAGUCGCCAUGAUGUCACACUUUUUUUCUUUUAGGUGUUAAGUCGGCGGACAUCAAAUAUGACUUUGCUCCGCUCAGAAGCACCUGUCCCUGUUAUUGUCAUGCGGGUGAAACAGAAUAUAGUGACUCAUGCUCUUCAGUUAUCAUGCAGUCAAGACAGUUUUCAUAGCCGUCAAGUGUCAAGUGUUCUUUUGAUUUGGCUGCAGGUGUUAAUAACGCAGGCGUUCAGAAAACAGUGUGAACGUUAGCAGUCCACUGGAGAGUUACUGUAUCUGACGUGCUUCAGCGGCUCCUCUCUGAAGCCUGUCUGUGCAAUUUGUACUUAACACUGGUACGGACAAAAACUGGAGAGAAACUGGAGAGGCCCCUGAAAGAUGCACGAGCUAUUAAACAAACAAGAAAUGCAGUAUUCUCUUUCCCUGAGCUGUGAAUCGACACAUUUACAUUUAGUUUGUCCUUUCUGCCGACACCAUUUUACCAAUUUUUGGAGCAAUUUAUGAUUUGAGAUUCUUUUUUAUUAUACAAAUAUGUACAAUUUGAGUGUCAUUAUUUAACCAGAGGCUUGGUGGCACAAUCCAUGGCUCCUCCACUCCUCCAGUGAGUGAACUAUUGAACUAAUGGCCGUGCCAGUGCUGUGUGAAUCUUUAUGAGUGUCGCCAAGCCUCGACAGUUGUGCCAUUACAUUACAAUUACGUGUCAUUACGUCACAUUUUUCCGCUCGUCUCUAUGCGUGACAUAUCAGCGAUAAACCGUCUCUGUGCGUCUGGAGAGACCUCCGUACUUGGUUCAGAGCCCGGUGUUGCUUGUAGAAGUGUAAACAAAGCAUUUAGGAGUCAUUUGACCCCAUGUGGGGACAAGUAAUCAGUGUGUGACCUCAGACGCGGCCGUCUCUCAUUACUCAUCGCAGACAGGAGGCCAAGAGAGAAAGUAUUCAACAGGCACAUACACAAACCCUCAAACCCCCUCAAACUCUCCGAGGCAUGUCCGACAAAAAAAUGCAUACAUUUGCUCACAGGCGUAGAUGCAGAAAUGGAACAACAGCGCUUGCACGCGGAUAUAUAAAAAAAAAUCAAUUAUCAUUUCAA